rnacentral:rRNA from 1 species
GAUGAACGCUGGCGGCGUGCCUAAUACAUGCAAGUCGAGCGAAUAGACGAGGAGCUUGCUCCUCUGACGUUAGCGGCGGACGGGUGAGUAACACGUGGAUAACCUACCUAUAAGACUGGGAUAACUUCGGGAAACCGGAGCUAAUACCGGAUAAUAUAUUGAACCGCAUGGUUCAAUAGUGAAAGACGGUUUUGCUGUCACUUAUAGAUGGAUCCGCGCCGCAUUAGCUAGUUGGUAAGGUAACGGCUUACCAAGGCAACGAUGCGUAGCCGACCUGAGAGGGUGAUCGGCCACACUGGAACUGAGACACGGUCCAGACUCCUACGGGAGGCAGCAGUAGGGAAUCUUCCGCAAUGGGCGAAAGCCUGACGGAGCAACGCCGCGUGGGUGAUGAAGGUCUUCGGAUCGUAAAACUCUGUUAUUAGGGAAGAACAAAUGUGUAAGUAACUAUGCACGUCUUGACGGUACCUAAUCAGAAAGCCACGGCUAACUACGUG